UACGUAGGGUGCGAGCGUUAAUCGGAAUUACUGGGCGUAAAGCGUGCGCAGGCGGUUCGUUGUGUCGGCGGUGAAAGCCCCGGGCUUAACCUGGGAAUGGCCGUUGAAACUGGCGAACUGGAGUGUGGCAGGAGGGGGGGUGGAAUUCCGCGUGUAGCAGUGAAAUGCGCAGAUAUCAGGAGGAACACCGGUGGCGAAGGCGGGUCUCUGGGCCGAUACUGACGCUGAGGAGCGAAAGCGUGGGGAGCGAACAGG
rnacentral:rRNA from 1 species